rnacentral:rRNA from 1 species
UGUGAGCUCGAUGAGUAGGGCGGGACACGUGGUAUCCUGUCUGAAUAUGGGGGGACCAUCCUCCAAGGCUAAAUACUCCUGACUGACCGAUAGUGAACCAGUACCGUGAGGGAAAGGCGAAAAGAACCCCGGCGAGGGGAGUGAAAAAGAACCUGAAACCGUGUACGUACAAGCAGUGGGAGCCUCUUAAUGGGGUGACUGCGUACCUUUUGUAUAAUGGGUCAGCGACUUAUAUUCUGUAGCAAGGUUAACCGAAUAGGGGAGCCGAAGGGAAACCGAGUCUUAACUGGGCGUUAAGUUGCAGGGUAUAGACCCGAAACCCGGUGAUCUAGCCAUGGGCAGGUUGAAGGUUGGGUAACACUAACUGGAGGACCGAACCGACUAAUGUUGAAAAAUUAGCGGAUGACUUGUGGCUGGGGGUGAAAGGCCAAUCAAACCGGGAGAUAGCUGGUUCUCCCCGAAAGCUAUUUAGGUAGCGCCUCGUGAAUUCAUCUCCGGGGGUAGAGCACUGUUUCGGCAAGGGGGUCAUCCCGACUUACCAACCCGAUGCAAACUGCGAAUACCGGAGAAUGUUAUCACGGGAGACACACGGCGGGUGCUAACGUCCGUCGUGAAGAGGGAAACAACCCAGACCGCCAGCUAAGGUCCCAAAGUCAUGGUUAAGUGGGAAACGAUGUGGGAAGGCCCAGACAGCCAGGAUGUUGGCUUAGAAGCAGCCAUCAUUUAAAGAAAGCGUAAUAGCUCACUGGUCGAGUCGGCCUGCGCGGAAGAUGUAACGGGGCUAAACCAUGCACCGAAGCUGCGGCAGCGACACUAUGUGUUGUUGGGUAGGGGAGCGUUCUGUAAGCCUGUGAAGGUGUACUGUGAGGUAUGCUGGAGGUAUCAGAAGUGCGAAUGCUGACAUAAGUAACGAUAAAGCGGGUGAAAAGCCCGCUCGCCGGAAGACCAAGGGUUCCUGUCCAACGUUAAUCGGGGCAGGGUGAGUCGACCCCUAAGGCGAGGCCGAAAGGCGUAGUCGAUGGGAAACAGGUUAAUAUUCCUGUACUUGGUGUUACUGCGAAGGGGGGACGGAGAAGGCUAUGUUGGCCGGGCGACGGUUGUCCCGGUUUAAGCGUGUAGGCUGGUUUUCCAGGCAAAUCCGGAAAAUCAAGGCUGAGGCGUGAUGACGAGGCACUACGGUGCUGAAGCAACAAAUGCCCUGCUUCCAGGAAAAGCCUCUAAGCAUCAGGUAACAUCAAAUCGUACCCCAAACCGACACAGGUGGUCAGGUAGAGAAUACCAAGGCGCUUGAGAGAACUCGGGUGAAGGAACUAGGCAAAAUGGUGCCGUAACUUCGGGAGAAGGCACGCUGAUAUGUAGGUGAAGUCCCUCGCGGAUGGAGCUGAAAUCAGUCGAAGAUACCAGCUGGCUGCAACUGUUUAUUAAAAACACAGCACUGUGCAAACACGAAAGUGGACGUAUACGGUGUGACGCCUGCCCGGUGCCGGAAGGUUAAUUGAUGGGGUUAGCGGUAACGCGAAGCUCUUGAUCGAAGCCCCGGUAAACGGCGGCCGUAACUAUAACGGUCCUAAGGUAGCGAAAUUCCUUGUCGGGUAAGUUCCGACCUGCACGAAUGGCGUAAUGAUGGCCAGGCUGUCUCCACCCGAGACUCAGUGAAAUUGAACUCGCUGUGAAGAUGCAGUGUACCCGCGGCAAGACGGAAAGACCCCGUGAACCUUUACUAUAGCUUGACACUGAACAUUGAGCCUUGAUGUGUAGGAUAGGUGGGAGGCUUUGAAGUGUGGACGCCAGUCUGCAUGGAGCCGGCCUUGAAAUACCACCCUUUAAUGUUUGAUGUUCUAACGUUGGCCCCUGAUCGGGGUUGCGGACAGUGUCUGGUGGGUAGUUUGACUGGGGCGGUCUCCUCCUAAAGAGUAACGGAGGAGCACGAAGGUUGGCUAAUCCUGGUCGGACAUCAGGAGGUUAGUGCAAUGGCAUAAGCCAGCUUGACUGCGAGCGUGACGGCGCGAGCAGGUGCGAAAGCAGGUCAUAGUGAUCCGGUGGUUCUGAAUGGAAGGGCCAUCGCUCAACGGAUAAAAGGUACUCCGGGGAUAACAGGCUGAUACCGCCCAAGAGUUCAUAUCGACGGCGGUGUUUGGCACCUCGAUGUCGGCUCAUCACAUCCUGGGGCUGAAGUAGGUCCCAAGGGUAUGGCUGUUCGCCAUUUAAAGUGGUACGCGAGCUGGGUUUAGAACGUCGUGAGACAGUUCGGUCCCUAUCUGCCGUGGGCGCUGGAGAACUGAGGGGGGCUGCUCCUAGUACGAGAGGACCGGAGUGGACGCAUCACUGGUGUUCGGGUUGUCAUGCCAAUGGCACUGCCCGGUAGCUAAAUGCGGAAGAGAUAAGUGCUGAAAGCAUCUAAGCACGAAACUUGCCCCGAGAUGAGUUCUCCCUGACUCCUUGA